AGAUUGAGUUACCUGGAAACAUACCUUGCGUGAAGAAGGUUUAUUGGCGGGUGGUUAAAAAGAUACACCUGUAAGGAAGUGGGGCUGGCAGGAUUGGGCAGAGGCAGAGGCUGCCUCUCUGCAUGGUUACAGCUGAGCCUAUGGCCCAGGGCGAUUGCAGGGGACUGGUUCUUCAGAGUUGGACCAAAUCGAGUGCAGCGGCCUGGGCCUUUGUCUCUCCGUAUCCUGCCUUCCUGGGCAGAGGUGAGCCUUAGGCAGAGCAGUUCCCCGAGGGCGAUGCCCACUGAUGGACACAGCUGUGAAUGGUCAGGAGCCUGUAUUGCCAGCAGCCUGGGAAUAGUGUGUCAGUGCUGAGUGCGGAUGUGGGAGAAGCUCCCCAGUAUACACUCUGGGCGGGUCACCUCUGAGAUCUCGAGUGGCCGCAGAGUCAGACGUAACAGGAAUACUCAGCACAGCCCUGGAGGGCCUGACCCAGGGUCCCCAGGGAGCCCUGGGGCCAUUCUUGGUUGCUCUUGACCUUCCUCACCCUAUGAGCCCAUUCAGUUUCCUAUUUUUUCUUUCUCCAGACUUUUUUUAAACUCUUUUUUCCUUCGCUUUUUAUGUUCUGGCUCAACAAUUUUCCACCCCUCCAAUGGCACUCAAGACAGAUGGAUCGGUCAACCAAUCAAUCAAUCAAUCAAAAUAAAGCAGCUGCCUAUGAAAGAGCGGCAGAGCAGUAAAGUAAAAUAUUAUGCGUAACGAGAUGAGGCCUUUGAGAGUAAGUCCUGGCCUUGCCACUAACAAGCUGUGUGAAUUUGGGGCAAUUACUUAACUUUACUGAACCUUUGUUUGUCUUUACAGUAAAGGGAUUAUAAGAAAAUUGUCUCUAAAGUCCCAACUCUAUGGAAAUUACAUUGUUAGAAAGAGAUGGCUUUCUUUGCUCUAUAAUUCCUCAUGAAGCAAGCAAGCUGUCCUUACAACUCAGGACAACUGAUUUUUAAAAUUAAUUGCAAUUCCUAUGUGAAGCUCCACUUCUGGGAAUUUCUAUUCAAUAUUCAAUAACUACACUCUAAGUCAUUGGUCAGAAAGAGACGCGUGAAGAAAGAUGAAAAACUGAGACAAAUCAGUCAGUCGGCGGGGGAUCAGAUCUUCACAGACUUCAGAACAAUUGUUCUGGGGUGGCAGCUUUGCUCCCUAAGGAUCUUACAUGUCCUGUGCACAUGGCCACUCUCUGCCUGAACCUGCCCUGGAAGUUCUGGAGAGCUCCCUCCUGUUGAAUAGAUCACCUGGGUCUCUUCUCUCCGACUGGUCAGAUGCACCCAGAAGAGCGUCAGAUACUCCACUUGGAGGUGAGGAAGCUUGAAGCCUGGCUGCCAGCAUUCUAGGAGCCUGCAAGUCUCAUCGGGAUGUUUUAACAAACAUUUAUCCAGUAUUCCCCUAGCAAUUUGUGCCAGACAAAAUCCUAGGUGCUUUGGGACUCCACCAGUAAUCUAAACAGGUGACACCCCCUGCCCUCCUGGAGCUUCCAUUCCAACAGGAAUAUAUCUCCAGUCUCCUCCCAGAGCGGGGGGAGGGUGGCUGCAGAAGGAAGUGGCAGGGAUUUGAAGGGCAAAGAGCUCCUUGUAGACUGUCAACCAAUCCUCCUUUUUCCAGCCCCACUUCACCUCCCUAUCUUC
ensembl:lncRNA